UUUCAUUAGGUGAUUUCCUCUCCUUAGGGCCAACUAGUGCCUCUCUUAGGAAAGUAGCAAUUUGGAAGAAAACCUGGCAUGCCUAAGGUCUUUGGGAAACAGAGGAUACUUGAUUUCUCUUGCAUUUCUUUGACUGCCUACAUGC
ensembl:snoRNA